rnacentral:rRNA from 1 species
CCUACGGGAGGCAGCAGUGAGGAAUAUUGGUCAAUGGACGAGAGUCUGAACCAGCCAAGUAGCGUGAAGGAUGACUGCCCUAUGGGUUGUAAACUUCUUUUAUAUGGGAAUAAAACGUUCCACGUGUGGGUUUUUGUAUGUACCCUAUGAAUAAGGAUCGGCUACCUCCGUGCCAGCAGCCGCGGUAAUACGGAGGAUCCGAGCGUUAUCCGGAUUUCUUGGGUUUAAAGGGAGCGUAGGUGGAUUGUUAAGUCAGUUGUGAAAGUUUGCGGCUCAACCGUAAGAUUGCAGUUGAAACUGGCAGUCUUGAGUACAGUAGAGGUGGGCGGAAUUCGUGGUGUAGCGGUGAAAUGCUUAGAUAUCACGAAGAACUCCGAUUGCGAAGGCAGUACACUGGACUGCAACUGACACUGAGGCUCGAAAGUAUGGGUAUCAAACAGGAUUAGAUAUCCGAGUAGUC